GUUCACGAUGACCCUUGUCAAGAGAUGGGUCGAAGUGAGCAUUGAAAGAAUUAGGGGAGUUUUCAAAACUCAUGCAACACAGAUUGCAACCAUUAUUUGAUGGGAUGUCGGAUGUUAUAAGUACUUUAUUUGUAGUGCAAAAAUAAUGAUCGUGCUUGGUUGUUUUCUAAUAAUGAGCUACAAUCGUUUACCAGUAUAUUAAAUGUGUUGAUUUAAUCUUUAGGUAAUGAUGAAAUUAAAAGUGCCAUGUCUAGGGAUAAAUGUCACUUACUUCUCGAAUUUAGAAUCUCUACCCUCCAUACAUACAACAUUAGAUAGCGGGUCUCCAUUUUCUGGUACAAUUAGGAUGGGAGUUGUAUUGAGGAUGUGGCUUAUAUACAACAUCAUUUAUAUAAGCUAACUAACAGUUAUAGUACCCUCCGAUCCUGUUUAUAAAAAGGAAUGGAAGGAAUUUUCAACGGAGUAGGCUUAAAAUUUGUUUAAAAAUCCAGGAAAUUUAUUCGGUAAACCCAAGGAUAGAAUACCAGACUGGGAAAAGAGUGGUAUCUAUGAAAGUUAAGUUAAUAGGUUUUCCUUUAUCUUCAGUGCCUGAAGACGAUACCUUGGUUAUCGAAACGCGCGUCAAAUAGUGUAAUUGUGAGUGUUGUGGUAGUGGUAGUGCAUUCAGUAUGUAUAAAAUUGGGAAUUUCUAUUGGCCCUUUUCAUAAUUUGAAUAUGACUGGUUUUCAAACCGUAACAAAAUCAAUCGAUUGAAUUUAAUAUGUUGAGUAUAGGGGUUGUAGUUAAACAGCACACAAUAUAAUAACGAAAUAUUUAUUUAUUGUUCGAAUCAUUUUGCAGGGUGUCUCUUCUAUCCAACAUUUCUUUAUGCGAUUUAUCGUUAUUGGAUUUGAAAUGAUUUUGAAUUAAUUCUUCUGUGACAUCUGAUAAUUUCGAUGGAUUCCACAUCGGUUUAUAUGUCUUAUCCACAAUAAUAGCUUUGGUUCCUGUAAAAUAAUUGUAUUACUAAAAUCUAGCAAUCGAGAAUUAGUUAUGAAUGGAGUUUUUUGUAACGUAUAACUGUAAAAUUUUAUUCAGAAAGUAUACUUAAAAUGAAAAGUAUAUUACGUAACAAGAGUUGUAAGUAACCAAUUACGCACGAAGUGAAAAAUUUCAUGAGUGCGUAAUGGGCUUACAACUCGUGUAACGUACUAUACUUUUUCUACGCCCAUUCAUGCAUGCUACUUAAGAAAACGCGUCCUAUUUUUAAAGAAAUUGCAUAAUGUGCUGCCUACAUUUAGGGGCAUCACUCUUUUAAUCCUAAAUGUAUCUCGCUAAUGCUAAAAGUUUUUAUGUUUUAUAAUUGACUAAAUUUGUGUAAAUAGACCAAAUAAAGUCUUACUUAAAUAAAAA